CCUACGGGUGGCUGCAGUGGGGAAUAUUGGACAAUGGGGGGAACCCUGAUCCAGCCAUGCCGCGUGUGUGAAGAAGGCCCUCGGGUUGUAAAGUACUUUCAGUGAGGAAGAACGCCUGGUGGUGAAUACCCAUCAGGAAAGACAUCACUCACAGAAGAAGCACCGGCUAACUCCGUGCCAGCAGCCGCGGUAAUACGGAGGGUGCGAGCGUUAAUCGGAAUUACUGGGCGUAAAGCGCGCGUAGGUGGCUUGAUAAGCCGGUUGUGAAAGCCCCGGGCUCAACCUGGGAACGGCAUCCGGAACUGUCAAGCUAGAGUGCAGGAGAGGAAGGUAGAAUUCCCGGUGUAGCGGUGAAAUGCGUAGAGAUCGGGAGGAAUACCAGUGGCGAAGGCGGCCUUCUGGACUGACACUGACACUGAGGUGCGAACGCGUGGGUAGCAAACAGGAUUAGAUACCCGGGUAGUC
rnacentral:rRNA from 1 species